rnacentral:rRNA from 1 species
GACGAACGCUGGCGGCGUGCUUAACACAUGCAAGUCGAACGGAAAGGCCCUGCUUUUGUGGGGUGCUCGAGUGGCGAACGGGUGCGUAACACGUGAGUAACCUGCCCUUCACUUUGGGAUAACUUCAGGAAACUGGGGCUAAUACCGGAUAGGAGCUCCUGCUGCAUGGUGGGGGUUGGAAAGUUUCGGCGGUUGGGGAUGGACUCGCGGCUUAUCAGCUUGUUGGUGGGGUAGUGGCUUACCCAGGCUUUGCAGGGUAGCCGGCCUGAGAGGGUGACCGGCCACAUUGGGACUGAGAGACGGCCCAGACUGCUACGGUGGGCAGCAGUGGGGAAUAUGGCACAAUGGGCGGAAGCCUGAUGCAGCAACGCCGCGUGCGGGAUGACGGCCUUCGGGUUGUAAACAGCAUUCGCCUGUGACGAAGCGUGAGUGACGGUAACGGGUAAAGAAGCACCGGCUAACUACGUG